GAAGCUGAGCUGAGACUAGAUGGUGAAAUUCGAACGCAAGCUAUGUUCCAAGUUUAUGGUUCCAGCAGCUCUGCAGUGCCAUGAGGAGCCUUGUGAAAUUGCCUUUAAAGAAAAGGCAAACCAUUUACCAGGAAGAAAGUUGAACAUUGGGUUCACAACCAGGGCUAA